GAAUUCGCCCUUAGAGUUUGAUCCUGGCUCAGGACGAACGCUGGCGGCGCGCCUAACACAUGCAAGUCGAACGAGAGAGAGGGAGCUUACUUCCUUGAUCGAGUGGCGAACGGGCGAGUAACGCGUGAGGAACCUGCCUCAAAGAGGGGGACAACAGUUGGAAACGACUGCUAAUACCGCAUAAGCCCACGACCCGGCAUCGGGAAGAGGGAAAAGGAGCAAUCCGCUUUGAGAUGGCCUCGCGUCCGAUUAGCUAGUUGGUGAGGUAACGGCCCACCAAGGCGACGAUCGGUAGCCGGACUGAGAGGUUGAACGGCCACAUUGGGACUGAGACACGGCCCAGACUCCUACGGGAGGCAGCAGUGGGGAAUAUUGCACAAUGGGGGAAACCCUGAUGCAGCGACGCCGCGUGGAGGAAGAAGGUCUUCGGAUUGUAAACUCCUGUUGUUGAGGAAGAUAAUGACGGUACUCAACAAGGAAGUGACGGCUAACUACGUGCCAGCAGCCGCGGUAAAACGUAGGUCACAAGCGUUGUCCGGAAUUACUGGGUGUAAAGGGAGCGCAGGCGGGCGAUCAAGUUGGAAGUGAAAUCCAUGGGCUCAACCCAUGAACUGCUUUCAAAACUGGUCGUCUUGAGUAGUGCAGAGGUAGGCGGAAUUCCCGGUGUAGCGGUGGAAUGCGUAGAUAUCGGGAGGAACACCAGUGGCGAAGGCGGCCUACUGGGCACCAACUGACGCUGAGGCUCGAAAGCAUGGGUAGCAAACAGGAUUAGAUACCCUGGUAGUCCAUGCCGUAAACGAUGAUUACUAGGUGUUGGAGGAUUGCCCCCUUCAGUGCCGCAGUUAACACAAUAAGUAAUCCACCUGGGGAGUACGACCGCAAGGUUGAAACUCAAAGGAAUUGACGGGGGCCCGCACAAGCAGUGGAGUAUGUGGUUUAAUUCGAAGCAACGCGAAGAACCUUACCAGGUCUUGACAUCCGAUGCAUAGCUUAGAGAUAAGUGAAGUCCUUCGGGACAUCGAGACAGGUGGUGCAUGGUUGUCGUCAGCUCGUGUCGUGAGAUGUUGGGUUAAGUCCCGCAACGAGCGCAACCCUUAUCUUCAGUAGCCAGCAGGUAAGGCUGGGCACUCUGGAGAGACUGCCAGGGAUAACCUGGAGGAAGGUGGGGACGACGUCAAAUCAUCAUGCCCCUUAUGAUCUGGGCGACACACGUGCUACAAUGGCGGUCACAGAGUGAGGCAAACCUGCGAGGGGGAGCAAACCACAAAAAGGCCGUCCCAGUUCGGACUGUAGUCUGCAACCCGACUACACGAAGCUGGAAUCGCUAGUAAUCGCGGAUCAGAAUGCCGCGGUGAAUACGUUCCCGGGUCUUGUACUAAGCGCCCGUCA
rnacentral:rRNA from 1 species